UACGGAGGGUGCGAGCGUUGUCCGGAAUCACUGGGCGUAAAGCGCACGUAGGCGGCUUGUUAAGUCAGGGGGUGAAAUCCUGGAGCUCAACUCCAGAACUGCCUUUGAUACUGGCGAGCUUGAGUCCGGGAGAGGUGAGUGGAACUGCGAGUGUAGAGGUGAAAUUCGUAGAUAUUCGCAAGAACACCCGUGGCUAAGGCGGCUCUCUAGUACGGUACUGACGCUGAGACGCGAAAGCGUGGGGAGCGAACAGG
rnacentral:rRNA from 1 species